rnacentral:rRNA from 1 species
GACCUCGAUCAGUAGC